rnacentral:rRNA from 1 species
AGCAGUAGCCGCGGUAAUACGAAGGGUGCAAGCGUUACUCGGAAUUACUGGGCGUAAAGCGUGCGUAGGUGGUGGUUUAAGUCCGUUGUGAAAGCCCUGGGCUCAACCUGGGAAUUGCAGUGGAUACUGGGUCACUAGAGUGUGGUAGAGGAUAGUGGAAUUUCCGGUGUAGCGGUGAAAUGCGUAGAGAUCGGGAGGAACAUCAGUGGCGAAGGCGGCCAUCUGGGACAACACUGACGCUGAGGCACGAAAGCGUGGGGAGCAAACAGGAUUAGAUACCCCCGUAGUCCCUGUCUCUUAUAC